rnacentral:rRNA from 1 species
CACGUAGGGGGCAAGCGUUGUCCGGAUUUAUUGGGCGUAAAGAGCGUGUAGGCGGUUAGGUAGGUCCGUUCUGAAAACUCGAGGCUCAACCUCGAGACGCGGAUGGAAACCAUCUAACUAGAGUCCGGAAGAGGAGAGUGGAAUUCCUGGUGUAGCGGUGAAAUGCGCAGAUAUCAGGAAGAACACCCGUGGCUAAGGCGGCUCUCUAGUACGGUACUGACGCUGAGACGCGAAAGCGUGGGGAGCGAACAGG